rnacentral:misc_RNA from 1 species
CGCCUCUGUCCGCUGUUUUCAUUCCAUUCCAUACUUGGAACUCCAGCAGCCGAAAAAUGGAGAAGAAGGAAGAAAACAAGCGGCAGAGAAAGAAAAUAAGGGGAGGAUUUUGGAGAUGGGUGAUAGCAUCAGUCAUCUUCAGGCUCAUUCUCAUUUAUUUCCCCCAAAAUCUCAACUUGUCCUCUCGCCCCGAAGUCUCCACUCCUCUCACCAGCCUCCGUCGCCUGGCUGAGGGUUACUGGUUGAAGCAAGCCUCGAUGUCUCCUUAUGCAGGAUCUAUGUACCAUGGUUCUCCAUUGUUACUCUCUGUAGUCGGGCCACUUACUGUUAAAAGAAUUGAAGGGCAACCUGAUCAUGUGUUAUGCAGUUUGCUUUUUGUCAUUGCAGAUAUUAUGAGUGCCAUGCUUCUUAGAGCUACUGGUUGGAAACUACAAGUGGCAUACAGAGAGAGCUUGAAAGCACUUGAUAUCAUUAAUAUACUAGAAAGCUCAGAUAUACUUGCUUCAGGAGAUAUUGCUGCUCUUGUGUACUUAUGGAAUCCGUUCACAAUAGUUGCUUGUGUGGGUUUGUCAACAUCCCCAAUUGAAAAUUUGUUCAUCAUACUGUCAAUUUAUGGGGCCUGUACACGAGUAGUUCCUCUAGCAGCUCUUGGAUGGGCUAUCGCAAGUCAUUUGUCUCUUUAUUCAGCAAUUCUAAUUAUUCCGGUGAUUCUUUUAUUGGGAUAUGGUCUAGAUGCUCCUCCUCGGAAGUUGUUCCUGCAGAAGGGAUUUUAUAAAAUUGGAGACAACAGCUCAAGCAAUAUACAUUGUGAACAAGAGAAAAUGAUCAACCAAUCAAAGCCUCGCAUUAUUUUUUCAUGGAGACCAGUCAUGCUUUUCUUUUUCUGGACAACUCUGUGGUCAGUCUAUGUGUUGGUUCUAUGUGGCAUAUCCGUCAAACAGUAUAGUGGCCUAUGGGAGAUGUUUCAAAGAACAUAUGGUUUCAUUCUUACAGUGGAAGAUAUGUCACCAAAUAUAGGUGUUCUAUGGUAUUUCUUUGCUGAAGUUUUUGAUUUCUUCAGAAAUUUCUUUUUGAUAGUUUUUCAUAUGAAUAUUUUAUUUAUGAUAUUGCCAUUAGCCAUAAGGCCAAGCCACUGGCCCUGCUUCUUCGCUUUUGUCUACAUUGCUAUCUCAUCAAUGCUUAAAUCGUAUCCAUCGGUAAGUUCUUUGUUGUUGCAUGGAUAUUCCAUCUUUUUUUUUUGUCUUAAAACUGUCCUUUUAUUGGGAGCAAAGUGCGUCUUUUCAUCACAUACUAUGGAGCAUUUGCAUUAGAUGAUGUUCGUAUAAAUUUCUGUAUGAUAUUAAGAGAUUGGCAUAAUAUAGAUUCCCAACUACUUGCCUAAAAUUUUUUAUGUUGUAGGUCUGUUUAAUCUUGAUGUUUGGCAGAUAUUGCCUAUUGAUUUUGAUUGUAGCAUACUAUGUCUUCUUCCUUCUGGGGGAUACUAUGAGUAGGGGUGGCCACGGUCCGGUUUCGAACCGAAAUCGAACCGGAACCAGUUCGGUCAAAACCGGACCGAAACCGGUCAAAAUCGGAACCGGCUUCGAACCGGACCGAAACCGUCCUUCUGCGGUUUGGUUCAGGUUCAUAUUUUUUAAGAACCGUGAACCGGCGGUUCCGAACCGGAUUGAACCGACGAUUUCAAACCGGAUUAAACCGGCGAUUUAAAUAUAAAAAAAUUCAAUAAAUAUGUUACCUCACUCCUAAUUCAUUUAUAUAUAUCAUUAAUUCUCUACACAAUUAUUCUCUGCAUUUUCUUCAAUUCUUAAUAUUUUUUCAAUUUUUCUCAAAUUCUCUAAAUAAUUAUUUUCUACACUCAUUUUAAUUUCCAAUACUCUCUCAAUUUUCCUACUUUAUUAUUUUAUAUACUUACUGAAAUUUUCAAUACUAUCUCAAUUACUUUGUUAUUACUUUAAAUCCUCAAUAAAAUUUCCAAUACCCUCUAUUUUAUUUUUUUUUCUCUUUUAUACUUUUUUAAUUAUCGAUUAUCAUAUAAUUUUUUGAAAAAAGGGCAAGCAAUAUAACUGAAAAUUUUGAUUCCUCUAAAUCCUAAAGGGAUAUUUAGGCAAAAUUAAGUUCAUACACUUUUUUCUAAUUUCUUCAAAAAAAAAAUUUAUCUCUAGUUUUUUAAUCAGGUUCAAGUCUUUAUUUAUUAAAUUUUUCUUAAAGAUAAAUUAUUUUCUUUCUUUUUUUUUCUUAUUUUAUUUUGAUUGAAAGAUUUCUAAGAAAAAUUAAAAUAUUUUUACAAAUAUAACUUAAAUUUUGAAUCAAUAAAAUUUUUCUCUAAUUUUUUUUGUCUAAGCUACCCUUAAACCAUCCCUAAACCACUUCCAAACCGUCCUCCAAACUGUCUUGAACCGUUCUUUUUCAAACCGCCUUUUAAACCAUUUUAAACCGGAACUCAAACCGAAACCGACGGUUCAAGAACCGUCUUCCAAACCGUCCCCUAGUGAUUCGGUUCAGGUUCAUGAUUUUAUUGAACCUGAACCGGCGGUUCAGGAACCGUAACCGGCGGUUCCUGAACCGUGGCCACCCCUACUCUAUUGCUCUCCUUUGCCUCCCACAUCACUCUCCAACAGCAGAUUGUGCCACAACUAAAAAGAGAAGUUGGAGUUUUCUUGGAUG